AGAUCAAAUACUGGUGGUGUUUAAAAAUAUUAAAUAUAGUAUAAAGUUUACAUUAUAUAAAUAGAAGUUAGACAUCAACACCUCCCAAUACACAUGAAUAAUAUGCAUCAACCAGAAGAACCAUAAGUGUUUAUAAACAAAUUAAUUGCACACUCUAUCAGUGUAUAUUGGCCAAUUGUAAUUUGGCAAUUGAUGAUCUGGGAAUCACAAUGGCAAAUCUGGAUAAAUUAUCAAGGAAAUCUUAAUUUAGCUUCUGGGCUAUUAAAUAAAAUGCAUUAUUCAGUUAUGAAAUUUUUGGCUUGUACCAAAUAUGUCACUUCAAGUUUUGGGAUAGUUAGACCACUACUUUUCAUCCACUAUCCAGCCAAUUUCUGAUAUACAAUCUGUGGUUGAAAAUCUAAUUGAUGACUGAGUAUUUAUUUUACAGAAAUACCUAGCUUAUUGUUUAUAAUAAAAUAAAUAUUUUGCAUCUUAUUCAUGGAUUGAAUGAUAAAGAUUAAGAAGAUUUACCACCACCAGCAAUACAACAAAUUGUUCACAUUAGUUUUGAAAAUUUAACCUUUGAACCAAUUGUAUCCGGAUAAAUUUUAUGCAUGGCAAACAUCAAGGAUGAAAUUAAAACUUUUGAUACUUAUACAAGGAUGUCACUGUACAGGAAUACACCCUAUUACAGAUGACCUUCAUGCCGAGGAAAAAUUAUAACAUAUUUCAUAACUGUGUAAUACAAAUUAAAAUACUAAUAAAUACAAUAUGAUACAAAUA